GACGAACGCUGGCGGCGUGCUUAACACAUGCAAGUCGAACGGAAAGGCCCCUUUGGGGGUACUCGAGUGGCGAACGGGUGAGUAACACGUUAGUAACCUGCCCUUGACUUCGGGAUAACUUCAGGAAACUGGGGCUAAUACCGGAUAGGAAUCCUUGCUGCAUGGUGGGGGUUGGAAAGCUUCGGCGGUUUUGGAUGGACUCGCGGCUUAUCAGCUUGUUGGUGGGGUAGUGGCUUACCAAGGCUUUGACGGGUAGCCGGCCUGAGAGGGCGACCGGCCACAUUGGGACUGAGAUACGGCCCAGACUCCUAUGGGAGGCAGCAGUGGGGAAUAUUGCACAAUGGGCGGAAGCCUGAUGCAGCAACGCCGCGUGCGGGAUGACGGCCUUCGGGUUGUAAACCGCUUUCAGCAGGGGCGAAGCUUGUGGUGACGGUACCUGCAGAAGAAGCACCGGCUAACUACGUG
rnacentral:rRNA from 1 species